AGGAAGAAUUCCGUAAUGUUUUUCAUGGCUGCUUCCCCAAUCUUCUUCUCCACACAGGGACACUGAAGGGGAACGGCCAAUCAACAUCCAGACCAAUAGACUUGGCAAAGCAGAGAACAAGCUACAGAAGAGGAAAGAUGAACAAUGCUGGCCCUUGUUUGUUGUGGAGCUGGCGUGUGGGAGAGAGGAGGAUAAUGGAAUGCAAUUAACCCAACCCUGGAACAAGGAUGACCCAGCUCCUCCAUCUGACCUGAUAGCCCCAGAGAUUCAAGAUCUUCCUAUAUUUCUCUCAGUUUCAUUGUUAUAAUGUUUUAAUCUCAUCUCUUC
rnacentral:lncRNA from 1 species